rnacentral:rRNA from 1 species
UAAAGUUGAAGAUUUAAAAAUUAUUAAAAAUAAUUUUGUUAAUUAUAUGUAUUUAAAAAAUUUAAUUAAAAUUAAGUUAUUAAUUAAAAUUUUAAAAUUAUUAAAGUAAAAUAAAUUUUUUACCUUUUGUAUCAGGGAAAAUUAAAAGAAAAUUAAAAUUAAAUUUUCUCGAAAUAAAAAAAAUUAAUUUUAUAAAUUUAUUAAUGUAGUAAUAUUAAAAUAAAAUAUAAAAUUAGAAACGAAAUAUUAAACGAUUUUUAUAAUAUCUAGUUAUUUAAUAAAUAAAUUUAAUUUAGGUAUAUUAAUUUUAAGAUAUUAUUUUAUUUAAAUAAUUUGAUAUAUUAAUAGAGUAAGGGAUAAGCUUUACCCUAAUUAUAUAACAAUGUAAAAAAAAGAAUUAUAUAAGAUUAAUAAUAUUUAAUAUUUAUAAAAAUUUAAUAAUUUAAUUUUUAAAAAAAAAAUUUAAAUAGGUUUAUAAAUUUAUUAAAUUAAAUUUUAAAAUUAGCAAAAAGUUAUAAUAAUGAUUUUAUUAGUAAAAGUUUUUUUUUAAAAAUAAAAAUUUACUUAAAAAAUUAAGUAAAGGAACUAGGCAAAUAACUGAAUAUUCAACUGUUUAACAAAAACAUAGUUUAUUGUAAAUAAUAUUAAAUAGAAUCUGCUCAAUGAAUAAAUUAAAUAGCUGCAGUAUUUUAACUGUACAAAGGUAGCAUAAUAAAUAGGUUUUUAAUUAAAAUCUUGAAUGAAAGAUUGCAUGAAAUAUUAACUGUCUCUAUUUAAAAAUUUGAAAUUAUUUUUAAGUAAAAAAACUUAAAUUUAAUUAAAAGACGAGAAGACCCCUUAGAAUUUUAUUUUUUAUUAAAAUAGUUUACUAAUAAUAUUUAUAAUUAAAUAUUUGAUAAAAAAUUUUUUUGGGGAAAAAAUUAAAAUUAAUAAACUUUUUUUUUAAAAAACAUUAAUAAAUGAAAAAAUAAUCCAAAAUUUUGAUUAAAAAAAUUAAUUACCUAGGGGAUAACAGCAUAAUUUUUUUUAAUAGCACUUAUAUAAAAAAAAGUUUAUGACCUCGAUGUUGAAUUAAGAUAAAAUUAAAAUGAAAAAAAUUUAAAAUUUAAGUCUGUUCGACUUUUAAAAUCUUACAUGAUUUGAGUUAAAAUCGGCGUGAGCCAGAUUGGUUUCUAUCUUUAAUUUGUAUUAAUAUUUUUGUACGAAAGGAAUUAAUAUUAAAAAUAAUUUUUAUAUUUAUAAU